rnacentral:rRNA from 1 species
UGGGGAAUAUUGGACAAUGGGCGAAAGCCUGAUCCAGCAAUGCCGCGUGAGUGAUGAAGGCCCUAGGGUUGUAAAGCUCUUUUACCCGGGAAGAUAAUGACUGUACCGGGAGAAUAAGCCCCGGCUAACUCCGUGCCAGCAGCCGCGGUAAUACGGAGGGGGCUAGCGUUGUUCGGAAUUACUGGGCGUAAAGCGCGCGUAGGCGGCUUUGUAAGUUAGAGGUGAAAGCCCGGGGCUCAACCCCGGAACUGCCUUUAAGACUGCAUCGCUUGAAUCCAGGAGAGGUGAGUGGAAUUCCGAGUGUAGAGGUGAAAUUCGUAGAUAUUCGGAAGAACACCAGUGGCGAAGGCGGCUCACUGGCCUGGUAUUGACGCUGAGGUGCGAAAGCGUGGGGAGCAAACAGG